rnacentral:rRNA from 1 species
UGGGGAAUAUUGCGCAAUGGGGGGAACCCUGACGCAGCCAUGCCGCGUGAAUGAAGAAGGCCUUCGGGUUGUAAAGUUCUUUCGGUAUUGAGGAAGGUUGAUGUGUUAAUAGCACAUCAAAUUGACGUUAAAUACAGAAGAAGCACCGGCUAACUCCGUGCCAGCAGCCGCGGUAAUACGGAGGGUGCGAGCGUUAAUCGGAAUAACUGGGCGUAAAGGGCACGCAGGCGGUUAUUUAAGUGAGGUGUGAAAGCCCUGGGCUUAACCUAGGAAUUGCAUUUCAGACUGGGUAACUAGAGUACUUUAGGGAGGGGUAGAAUUCCACGUGUAGCGGUGAAAUGCGUAGAGAUGUGGAGGAAUACCGAAGGCGAAGGCAGCCCCUUGGGAAUGUACUGACGCUCAUGUGCGAAAGCGUGGGGAGCAAACAGGAUUAGAUACCCUGGUAGUCCACGCUGUAAACGCUGUCGAUUUGGGGGUUGGGGUUUAACUCUGGCGCCCGUAGCUAACGUGAUAAAUCGACCGCCUGGGGAGUACGGCCGCAAGGUUA